rnacentral:rRNA from 1 species
GAUGAACGCUGGCGGCGUGCCUAAUACAUGCAAGUCGAGCGAACGGACGAGAAGCUUGCUUCUCUGAUGUUAGCGGCGGACGGGUGAGUAACACGUGGAUAACCUACCUAUAAGACUGGGAUAACUUCGGGAAACCGGAGCUAAUACCGGAUGAUAUUUUGAACCGCAUGGUUCAAAAGUGAAAGACGGUCUUGCUGUCACUUAUAGAUGGAUCCGCGCUGCAUUAGCUAGUUGGUAAGGUAACGGCCUACCAAGGCAACGAUGCAUAGCCGACCUGAGAGGGUGGUCGGCCACACUGGAGCUGAGACACGGUCCAGGCGCCUACGGGAGGCAGCAGUCGGGAAUCUUCCGCAAUGGGCGAAAGCCUGACGGAGCAACGCCGCGUGAGUGAUGAAGGUCUUCGGAUCGUAAAACUCUGUUAUUAGGGAAGAACAUAUGUGUAAGUAACUGUGCACAUCUUGACGGUACCUAAUCAGAAAGCCACGGCUAACUACGUG